CCUCUGAUAAGGCAUUCUAUUUUCUGAUUAUUGGCAAAAUAGACACCUUAUCCUAGGGG
rfam:Sarcophilus harrisii ctg7180001635524, whole genome shotgun sequence.